AGAGAACUCUAGAUUUCUGUUUCUUUAGGGUUUGUUUUGUCAGAGACAGCUCUUCACCAGUCACCUUACUUUGGAUUCAUGAACAUGUCUGCUGGUAACAUCCGCGGGCUAGUGGGGUUUGCCACCAAGGUCUGUUUUUUUGAAAUCUAUACCUGGAAUGUGAGCUGUUGUCUUCCAUGAUGCCAACAAGAAGGGAAGCAGUGAAUACGGGCAGGG